rnacentral:lncRNA from 1 species
GUUCAAAUCAUCACACAAAAACCCUAGAGGCGAUAUCUUCUACCUCCUCCAGAUUUCAAUCUCCCUCUUCCGGACCAGUGAACAAUCGACGGUAAUCUCAGUGGUUUAUUUAUCAUCUGCCUCUCUCUCUCUCUCUCUCUCUCUCUCUGAAGAUCAUCGGCGACUAACCUCAAUCGAAGCUUAGGGUUUGAAAUUUAGUUUCUUCAAGGAACUGGUUCAAAUAUGAGAAUCUAAAUCGACUAUGGGCAAGAUCCAGUACUCCGAGAAGUAUUUUGAUGAUACAAUUGAUCACAAGUUGCAUGUUGUUCUUACUCAUGAAGUUGUGAAGCUUUUUCCAAAGAAUUGACUUAUACCCGAGGUAUAACAGUAUAAGCUUAAACGUUACUGAUUAAUGGAUUUUGAAAGCAAGAUUUUUGGAAAAGGCUAAAACUGGUGGAGUAAGUAAUGGAUCAGAAUGCGAAAAAACAAGAAUGGGCAUGCUACUAUCCCUCCAUGUUGCUUGAAAGCGCAGGUUUUGCUGAACUAGAAGCCAAUUGUCAUGGUACCGUUGUUUCAAGAUGGUUCAUUGAGCAUCGGGAUUCAUCUGUUAUGUACCGCUUCCAUGUGUAUAUUCAGUCUUAGCAAACGCAUGUUCAGGUCAGUCACAAGAUGCUGACUCGGCCAUAAUGCAUAAACAAAUCGCCUAGGCCCUGUGCCCAACAAAUCGCCUUGAGUGCGCCUCGCGCCUUUAAUAACUAUGUCCAGAUGUAUGCGCUAUAAUUUCUCCGAAAUAGAUAUUACAAGUUUUCAAGACAAAGCUAGAUCUGUGGAUGACAAUUUUUUUUUGUUAAUGGAUGCCGCUUAGAGCCGAACUGAUGAGGAAUGAAAAUAUAGUAAGGCCUUUACCCUGGAACGGGAAGCAGAAGUCUUAGAAUCGAAGCGGAAGAAUGAAGAACUGAAAUAGUCCAAAGUUUUUAGUUCUCUAUUUCCUAUAGGGAAGUGAUGGUUAAAAAGAACAAUCACUGUAGGUGCAUGUGACAACCCGUAAUUCUCGAGUUUUUCAUGUGAAGUGUAGCCGGAAGGAUACCAACAAAAGUGGAGCUGGAUAAGAGAGGAGUGCAAUGGUGCCUUUGCUUCGGAUACCUACCAGAAUCAGUGGACCAUGUAUUGGUUUCAUGCAUCCUCUCCAAAUCGAUUUGGUGGGGAACGGAGUGUGGCUUGGGUUGAACAAUCUUUCAGCAUGUUCAACUGUCUAAGAAGUGAUCAAAUCUGUGAUGGAUGAACGUUAUCUAAGAGGCAAAGGAAGGCUGCACUGUGUGUUGUCUUGACUGUACCGUGGAAGAUAUGGUGGCAUAGAAACCGGCGUGAAGUUGCUUAUACUAGAUUAUGAUGAGAAUGAAAGAAAUAAACAUUUCAAAGUAAAUAAUAUGGUUUUGGAUGAAGCCGCGCAUCGCGCGGGCAUUAGCCUAGUUAACGAAUAUAACAUGAUAAUGAAAAUGUCAUAGAUAACAAAACUGAUGUUUACAAAUUCACAAAUAGUAAUAACUAAUGUUUACAAAUACUACUCAAUAAAAUUCAAAACUAAUCAGUUUUAAAAUGCCAAUGAUCGCAAAACAUAAGAAAAUAUAUUAGAUCCCAAACAACAAUUUAAAUUAAUAAUGAAAACUCCAUUUAUCAGUUCUUACUAAUUGUUAAACAACGAAUGAAAACGCGAUAAAUUGGAUACAUGAACAACCCUAUUGAAAGCAUACAACACAUUGUGAAAUAUUAAUUUG